rnacentral:rRNA from 1 species
CCUGCCUACGGGAGGCAGCAGUGGGGAAUAUUGCACAAUGGGGGAAACCCUGAUGCAGCGACGCCGCGUGAGUGAAGAAGUAUUUCGGUACGUAAAGCUCUAUCAGCAGGGAAGAAAAAAAGUCCUUUGGACUUUGGACGGUACCUGACCAAGAAGCCCCGGCUAACUACGUGCCAGCAGCCGCGGUAAUACGUAGGGGGCAAGCGUUAUCCGGAUUUACUGGGUGUAAAGGGAGCGUAGACGGCAGCGCAAGUCUGGAGUGAAAUGCCGGGGCCCAACCCCUGGGACUGCUUUAGAAACUGUUA